AGAGUUUGAUCCUGGCUCAGGACGAACGCUGGCGGCGUGCUAAUACAUGCAAGUAGAACGCUGAAGAAAGGAGCUUGCUUCUUUGGAUGAGUUGCGAACAGGUGAGUAACGCGUAGGUAACCUGCCUUGUAGCGGGGGAUAACUAUUGGAAACGAUAGCUAAUACCGCAUAACAGCUUUUGACACAUGUUGGAAGCUUGAAAGAUGCAAUUGCAUCACUACGAGAUGGACCUGCGUUGUAUUAGCUAGUAGGUAGGGUAACGGCCUACCUAGGCGACGAUACAUAGCCGACCUGAGAGGGUGAUCGGCCACACUGGGACUGAGACACGGCCCAGACUCCUACGGGAGGCAGCAGUAGGGAAUCUUCGGCAAUGGGGGCAACUCUGACCGAGCAACGCCGCGUGAGUGAAGAAGGUUUUCGGAUCGUAAAGCUCUGUUGUAAGAGAAGAACGUGUGUGAGAGUGGAAAGUUCACACAGUGACGGUAACUUACCAGAAAGGGACGGCUAACUACGUGCCAGCAGCCGCGGUAAUACGUAGGUCCCGAGCGUUGUCCGGAUUUAUUGGGCGUAAAGCGAGCGCAGGCGGUUUAAUAAGUCUGAAGUUAAAGGCAGCGGCUUAACCAUUGUUCGCUUUGGAAACUGUUAAACUUGAGUGCAGAAGGGGAGAGUGGAAUUCCAUGUGUAGCGGUGAAAUGCGUAGAUAUAUGGAGGAACACCGGUGGCGAAAGCGGCUCUCUGGUCUGUAACUGACGCUGAGGCUCGAAAGCGUGGGGAGCAAACAGGAUUAGAUACCCUGGUAGUCCACGCCGUAAACGAUGAGUGCUAGGUGUUAGGCCCUUUCCGGGGCUUAGUGCCGCAGCUAACGCAUUAAGCACUCCGCCUGGGGAGUACGACCGCAAGGUUGAAACUCAAAGGAAUUGACGG
rnacentral:rRNA from 1 species